UAAGUUGAAAUUCUGGGCCUCAUACAAUCACGGAAGUUAAGCAAUGUUGAGCCUAGUCAGUACCUAGAUGAUUGACUGCUUGGGAAUACCAGGUGCUGCAAG